UCUCCGUUGGUGAACCAGCGGAGGGAUCAUUACAGGACUCGCAAGACUCCUUCACCCUGUGAACCUCACUACAAGCACGUUGCUUCGGCGGGUGUCCCGGCGGGGGUUUUCCCUCGCCGGGGCGCACAGCCCGCCGGCAGCCUACUAUACUCUGUCUCUUUGCGUUAGCAUCUCGAGAAAAAACAAACAAGUUAAAACUUUCAACAACGGAUCUCUUGGUUCUG
rnacentral:misc_RNA from 1 species